rnacentral:lncRNA from 1 species
GCAUAGCAAAAGGUGUUUGUCAGCAGCAAGAUAGUCUUUUUGAAAAGAGAGUUUUUUAGAGGAGCUAAUGCCUAUAAAAUUGAAUUUGAUAAAGUUCAAGAAGUGAAAAGACUGACACAGAAUUAGAUUUGAUUAGAGAAUCAAAUUCGGAGCUAGUAGAGAUGCCAUUAAGAAAAUCUGGUAGUAUACCGCAUCAGUUAGAUAGAUACUAUGAUUUCUUGAUUCCAAGACAGUGACCCU